UACCAAAGCUCCUGGCUUUGUAUAUGCUUGGCUUGAGUUGAUCUCCCAUCGGAUCUUUAUUGCAAGAAUGUUGGCACAUACGCCACAGCAGAAGGGGUGGCCUAUGUAUGCACAGCUGUUGAUUGAUUUAUUCAAGUAUUUAGCACCUUUCCUUAGAAAUGUGGAACUCACUAAACCUAUGCAAAUCCUCUACAAGGGUACUCUAAGAGUGCUGCUAGUUCUUUUGCAUGAUUUCCCAGAGUUCCUUUGUGAUUACCAUUAUGGGUUCUGUGAUGUGAUCCCUCCUAAU